rnacentral:lncRNA from 1 species
AUCGGACCAGCGCUUGCAUAUAUGUGAUUUUGCUUGUGGCCAUUUCCAAUUUGACCACUGCGAGCUGGCUAUUCCGUUUUCAAGAGACCUUGUCAUUAGAGAUAACAGCAUUUGGGACCAGAAAGAACCUGCUGUACACGAACGGUCUUUCCAGUUUGUGCCUUCCAUGGGGAUACAGAGCAGUAAGUUGCUUAAUAAAACUUGCUGUCUCAAUGGAGGGACCUGCAACCUGGGGUCCUUCUGUGCCUGUCCUCCUUCCUUCUAACACAACUGUGAACAAGAUGUACACAAAGAGCACUGUGGAUCUAUCAUCCGUGGCACCUGACUGCCCAAGAAGUGUUCCCUGUGCAGAUGCUGGCAUGGCCAGCUCCACUGUUUUCCUCAGACCUUUCUACCUGGCUGUGAUGGUCAUGUGAUGUACCAGGAUGUCAAAGCAUCCAGGACUCCCUGUCAAACGCCUUCUGUGCCAAGCCCUUUUAUGCUAACUGGCGCCUGCCUUUUUGUAGAAAUGAAAGUA